rnacentral:lncRNA from 1 species
UAGUACAUAAGAGCGAUAAUUAUUCGCAAUCAUUUCUAGAAAUAAGACUUCGAGAAUCAAAGUAGACCUCAUAGAAACAUGACGGAUCCACAAACUAAAUCAUCUUACCAGUAGAGGACCAACCCACAUUUUGAGAAAAUCAAGCUUAAGUCUAUGAUAGAUUGGCUUUAAUACAAAUGGAAGAUUGUUAGAUGUAUGUCCUAGAAGCGAAUCAGACUGAUACAUUAAUUUUUUUUAGGAC